GGUUAAGCGACUAAGCGUACACGGUGGAUGCCCUGGCAGUCAGAGGCGAUGAAGGACGUGCUAAUCUGCGAUAAGCGUCGGUAAGGUGAUAUGAACCGUUAUAACCGGCGAUUUCCGAAUGGGGAAACCCAGUGUGUUUCGACACACUAUCAUUAACUGAAUCCAUAGGUUAAUGAGGCGAACCGGGGGAACUGAAACAUCUAAGUACCCCGAGGAAAAGAAAUCAACCGAGAUUCCCCCAGUAGCGGCGAGCGAACGGGGAGGAGCCCAGAGCCUGAAUCAGUAUGUGUGUUAGUGGAAGCGUCUGGAAAGGCGCGCGAUACAGGGUGACAGCCCCGUACACAAAAAUGCACAUACUGUGAGCUCGAUGAGUAGGGCGGGACACGUGGUAUCCUGUCUGAAUAUGGGGGGACCAUCCUCCAAGGCUAAAUACUCCUGACUGACCGAUAGUGAACCAGUACCGUGAGGGAAAGGCGAAAAGAACCCCGGCGAGGGGAGUGAAAAAGAACCUGAAACCGUGUACGUACAAGCAGUGGGAGCACGCUUAGGCGUGUGACUGCGUACCUUUUGUAUAAUGGGUCAGCGACUUAUAUUCUGUAGCAAGGUUAACCGAAUAGGGGAGCCGAAGGGAAACCGAGUCUUAACUGGGCGUUAAGUUGCAGGGUAUAGACCCGAAACCCGGUGAUCUAGCCAUGGGCAGGUUGAAGGUUGGGUAACACUAACUGGAGGACCGAACCGACUAAUGUUGAAAAAUUAGCGGAUGACUUGUGGCUGGGGGUGAAAGGCCAAUCAAACCGGGAGAUAGCUGGUUCUCCCCGAAAGCUAUUUAGGUAGCGCCUCGUGAAUUCAUCUCCGGGGGUAGAGCACUGUUUCGGCAAGGGGGUCAUCCCGACUUACCAACCCGAUGCAAACUGCGAAUACCGGAGAAUGUUAUCACGGGAGACACACGGCGGGUGCUAACGUCCGUCGUGAAGAGGGAAACAACCCAGACCGCCAGCUAAGGUCCCAAAGUCAUGGUUAAGUGGGAAACGAUGUGGGAAGGCCCAGACAGCCAGGAUGUUGGCUUAGAAGCAGCCAUCAUUUAAAGAAAGCGUAAUAGCUCACUGGUCGAGUCGGCCUGCGCGGAAGAUGUAACGGGGCUAAACCAUGCACCGAAGCUGCGGCAGCGACGCUUAUGCGUUGUUGGGUAGGGGAGCGUUCUGUAAGCCUGUGAAGGUGUGCUGUGAGGCAUGCUGGAGGUAUCAGAAGUGCGAAUGCUGACAUAAGUAACGAUAAAGCGGGUGAAAAGCCCGCUCGCCGGAAGACCAAGGGUUCCUGUCCAACGUUAAUCGGGGCAGGGUGAGUCGACCCCUAAGGCGAGGCCGAAAGGCGUAGUCGAUGGGAAACAGGUUAAUAUUCCUGUACUUGGUGUUACUGCGAAGGGGGGACGGAGAAGGCUAUGUUGGCCGGGCGACGGUUGUCCCGGUUUAAGCGUGUAGGCUGGUUUUCCAGGCAAAUCCGGAAAAUCAAGGCUGAGGCGUGAUGACGAGGCACUACGGUGCUGAAGCAACAAAUGCCCUGCUUCCAGGAAAAGCCUCUAAGCAUCAGGUAACAUCAAAUCGUACCCCAAACCGACACAGGUGGUCAGGUAGAGAAUACCAAGGCGCUUGAGAGAACUCGGGUGAAGGAACUAGGCAAAAUGGUGCCGUAACUUCGGGAGAAGGCACGCUGAUACGUAGGUGAAGCGACUUGCUCGUGGAGCUGAAAUCAGUCGAAGAUACCAGCUGGCUGCAACUGUUUAUUAAAAACACAGCACUGUGCAAACACGAAAGUGGACGUAUACGGUGUGACGCCUGCCCGGUGCCGGAAGGUUAAUUGAUGGGGUCAGCGCAAGCGAAGCUCUUGAUCGAAGCCCCGGUAAACGGCGGCCGUAACUAUAACGGUCCUAAGGUAGCGAAAUUCCUUGUCGGGUAAGUUCCGACCUGCACGAAUGGCGUAAUGAUGGCCAGGCUGUCUCCACCCGAGACUCAGUGAAAUUGAACUCGCUGUGAAGAUGCAGUGUACCCGCGGCAAGACGGAAAGACCCCGUGAACCUUUACUAUAGCUUGACACUGAACAUUGAGCCUUGAUGUGUAGGAUAGGUGGGAGGCUUUGAAGUGUGGACGCCAGUCUGCAUGGAGCCGACCUUGAAAUACCACCCUUUAAUGUUUGAUGUUCUAACGUGGACCCGUAAUCCGGGUUGCGGACAGUGUCUGGUGGGUAGUUUGACUGGGGCGGUCUCCUCCUAAAGAGUAACGGAGGAGCACGAAGGUUGGCUAAUCCUGGUCGGACAUCAGGAGGUUAGUGCAAUGGCAUAAGCCAGCUUGACUGCGAGCGUGACGGCGCGAGCAGGUGCGAAAGCAGGUCAUAGUGAUCCGGUGGUUCUGAAUGGAAGGGCCAUCGCUCAACGGAUAAAAGGUACUCCGGGGAUAACAGGCUGAUACCGCCCAAGAGUUCAUAUCGACGGCGGUGUUUGGCACCUCGAUGUCGGCUCAUCACAUCCUGGGGCUGAAGUAGGUCCCAAGGGUAUGGCUGUUCGCCAUUUAAAGUGGUACGCGAGCUGGGUUUAGAACGUCGUGAGACAGUUCGGUCCCUAUCUGCCGUGGGCGCUGGAGAACUGAGGGGGGCUGCUCCUAGUACGAGAGGACCGGAGUGGACGCAUCACUGGUGUUCGGGUUGUCAUGCCAAUGGCACUGCCCGGUAGCUAAAUGCGGAAGAGAUAAGUGCUGAAAGCAUCUAAGCACGAAACUUGCCCCGAGAUGAGUUCUCCCUGACUCCUUGAGAGUCCUGAAGGAACGUUGAAGACGACGACGUUGAUAGGCCGGGUGUGUAAGCGCAGCGAUGCGUUGAGCUAACCGGUACUAAUGAACCGUGAGGCUUAACCUU
rnacentral:rRNA from 1 species